UACGUAGGCAGCAAGCGUUGUUCGGAGUUACUGGGCGUAAAGGUGCGUAGGCGGUCCGUAUAAGUAUGGUGUGAAAUCUCCCGGCUUAACUGGGAGGGUGCGCUAUAGACUGUGGGACUAGAGUGUGGGAGAGGAAAGUGGAAUUCCUGGUGUAGCGGUGAAAUGCGUAGAUAUCAGGAGGAACACCGGUGGUGUAAACGGCUUUCUGGACCAUAAACUGACGCUGGAGGCAACGAAAGCGUGGGUAGCAAACAGG
rnacentral:rRNA from 1 species